rnacentral:rRNA from 1 species
CAGUCGCCGCGGGAAUACAGAGGGUGCGAGCGUUAAUCGGAUUUACUGGGCGUAAAGCGUGCGUAGGCGGCUUCUUAAGUCGGAUGUGAAAUCCCUGAGCUUAACUUAGGAAUUGCAUUCGAUACUGGGAAGCUAGAGUAUGGGAGAGGAUGGUAGAAUUCCAGGUGUAGCGGUGAAAUGCGUAGAGAUCUGGAGGAAUACCGAUGGCGAAGGCAGCCAUCUGGCAUAAUACUGACGCUGAGGUACGAAAGCAUGGGGAGCAAACAGGAUUAGAUACCCCAGUAGUCCCUGUCUCUUAUAC